rnacentral:rRNA from 1 species
ACGAACGCUGGCGGCGUGCUUAACCCAUGCAAGUCGAACGGAAAGGCCCUGCUUUUGUGGGGUGCUCGAGUGGCGAACGGGUGAGUAACACGUGAGUAACCUGCCCUUGACUUUGGGAUAACUUCAGGAAACUGGGGCUAAUACCGGGUAGGAGCUCCUGCUGCAUGGUGGGGGUUGGAAAGUUUCGGCGGUUGGGGAUGGACUCGCGGCUUAUCAGCUUGUUGGUGGGGUAGUGGCUUACCAAGGCUUUGACGGGUAGCCGGCCUGAGAGGGUGACCGGCCACAUUGGGACUGAGAUACGGCCCAGACUCCUACGGGAGGCAGCAGUGGGGAAUAUUGCACAAUGGGCGGAAGCCUGAUGCAGCAACGCCGCGUGCGGGAUGACGGCCUUCGGGUUGUAAACCGCUUUCGCCUGUGACGAAGCGUGAGUGACGGUAAUGGGUAAAGAAGCACCGGCUAACUACGU